rnacentral:miRNA from 1 species
CAGGGAGGAGGUGGUACUAGGGGCCAGCAGACACUGAUUCCCCCUUAUUGGUGCUCUGUGCCCCUCCAG